AUUGAACGCUGGCGGCAGGCCUAACACAUGCAAGUCGAGCGGAGCGGCGGACGGGUGAGUGAUGCCUAGGAAACUGCCUGGUAGUGGGGGAUAACGUACGGCCACGGGCGCUAAUACCGCAUACUAUCAGAUGAUCCAAGGACGGAUUAGCUAGUUGGUGGGUUAAAGGCCUACCAAGGCGACGAGCCGUAACUGGUCUGAGGGGAUGAUCAGUCACACUGGAACUGAGACACGGUCCAGACUCCUACGGGAGGCAGCAGUGGGGAAUUUUGGACAAUGGGCGAAACCCUGAUCCAGCCAUGCCGCGUGUGUGAAGAAGGGCUUCGGGUUGUAAAGUACUUUAGUUUGGGAGGCGUUACCAACAGAAUAAGCACCGGCUAACUUCGUGCCAGCAGCCGCGGUAAUAC
rnacentral:rRNA from 1 species